AGUGAACGCUGGCGGCAGGCCUAACACAUGCAAGUCGAGCGGCAGCGCGGGGGCAACCCUGGCGGCGAGCGGCGGACGGGUGAGGAAUUCGUCGGAAUCUGCCUUUUUGUGGGGGAUAACGUAGGGAAACUUACGCUAAUACCGCAUACGUCCUACGGGAGAAAGUGGGGGACCGCAAGGCCUCACGCAGAAAGAUGAGCCGACGACCGAUUAGCUAGUUGGUGGGGUAAAGGCCCACCAAGGCGACGAUCGGUAGCUGGUCUGAGAGGAUGAUCAGCCACACUGGGACUGAGACACGGCCCAGACUCCUACGGGAGGCAGCAGUGGGGAAUAUUGGACAAUGGGCGCAAGCCUGAUCCAGCCAUGCCGCGUGUGUGAAGAAGGCCUUCGGGUUGUAAAGCACUUUUGUCCGGAAAGAAAUCCCUGGAGCGAAUACCUUCGGGGGAUGACGGUACCGGAAGAAUAAGCACCGGCUAACUUCGUG
rnacentral:rRNA from 1 species